rnacentral:sRNA from 1 species
GGCUCACAAGGUUUUUCUGAAUUUGUAGGUCCAGGAUUUAUUUUUGAAAGGAUGAAAUCGUUUGCUGUUGAGGUUCCCGUGCAGAAGAGCGAAAAUGUUGCAAGUGGAAGAUAGAUAACAGCUCAAGACACAUGGUAUGAGGGUGCAGAAUAGUCACGAGCGAAUCUGGUUUAGAGAUUUUGUUUCCAAUCUACAUUCGGUGCCUUGCUCAGAUCGGCUCUGCACUCAUCAUCGACGACUCCGCCUUCACGAAGGACUCCAUAAAUCCCAAGACCAAUAAAGGUAAAGCACGCCCACCUCUUUUUUUCACUCGUUUUCAUGAUCGAAUGUCAAAUGAAGCGACUCUGAUUCAUGCAUGUGUGUAUGGUGUAUUCUAUAAAUGGGCUUCUCAAUUUGUUGUCUGGAUUGAAGAAAAGGUAGAUGGAGCUCUCGAAAAUUUCAGAUCCAAGAAAAGAGAAAGCAUUUUUUGUGUGAAAACCCUAAAAUGGAGACAAAAAAGAAAGGAUGGCAGACAUGAAGAGGGCUUUGGUGCAAGGAUCAGUUGCGGCGACUUUAAAUAAUGAUAGAGGUGAUUUUAGAAGGUUUUUGUGCAAUUUAAGGUAUCUCGGGCUCCAGAAAUUUCUAAUGCACAAGGCUUAGAUCACUUGCCAUCUGCACAUACUUGGUAACUUCGACUCUGAUAUCAUAUUUUUCUUUUUCUUGAAUAUGUUCUCUAUUAUCUGUUUGAGUUAUCAAAUACCAUUUGAAAUUACUUUUCAGAAAACUAAAGCCUUCAAAUUAAGUUUAUCCAAUUGCGAGUGCGCAACUUAUUAAAGAAAUUUACUAAAUCUGGUAUGAAACAUGAAAAGAGGUACAUAGUCUUUGACUUCGUAUGUUAGUUUAAGUCGUUUACUGUGCAUUCCAUAUUAGUUCCAUUUAAAGUAUACCAAUUACAAAUCAAAUGGGCAGAGGUUUCCUAAGUUGGUAAAUGGUUUUACCAAGUCUUCUUACUUAUUGGUAAUAAGCCAUUUAUUAUUAUUAUUGGAUUUGAUUUGAUUCCAAUGAGUUGCACAUGUACAUUUUGGAUUGGAUUCCUUUGCUUUAUAAACAAUUUCUAAAUUUCCUUUUCUAUUUCUCUCCUAAUAAUUAAUUUUCUAGAAUUUUUAUAGGGAGAACUACGUGUGUGCAAAAAUAUGGUGGAAGGAAUUGAUGUAUCUUAAUUUUAUUCUAAUUAUCUGUGAUUAAGCUGAUUAAGUGAUCAGACAUGUAAUUACUUUGAUUUCUGCCAAUUAGGCAAAUGAUGGUGUUCUAAGAAUUUAAAAAGUUUACUGUUCAUUCUAUUUCAAUGAUUAGAAUCGUUUAAUUUUUAGGUUUUUUUCUAGAAAGAUAUAUGAUGACAAAGUGUGUCAAUAUAAUGGAAAUAAAGCGAAGAUUACGAAGUCGAGUACCCAGACUAAGAAAUGAGUUUUGGAUCGUAAUAAUGGCUGCACUUUUCCUUGGAAUGGUCAAUGCUUUCUAUUUUUAACUUAUCCGUGGGUAGAGAAUAUUAAUGAAUUUAUAUGUUAUCCUCUGCCUUUUAGUGUUUUUAGUUGAUUAGAGUUGAACAUGGAGAAGUUUUUGAGACUUUUAGACAUGUUGGACCUCUCACAGUUGAUGUGGAUUUUUUGAAAGACAAACUGCGAGAAGAUUUGCUUGGCCACUUUGAUCAAUUGAAGUGAUUAGGAAUUAGGACCUUGGUUAUAUCCAACAGUUCACUGCCUAAAUACAAAAUUCAUAUAGACAGUUUCUGGGUGGGUAGCUCACGAUUCCUCGGGCAAGAUUACUCAUUUCGUCUUCAAACGAAGAGAAAAUGGGAUCAACAGUACAUAAAGAUUGGGUGGGUAUCGAAUACUGAAAUUCUGUGUGGGAAGGAAGGAAGUAGAGACCGCCCAAAAAAAAAAGAGAGUAUAUAUGUAUAUAAUGGGUUAGGUGCAAUGCAGAUGGCAAAGGGGUAACAGUGCAAUUUGAGUCCAAAAAAAAAAAAAGCUCAAAUCAAAAGAGGAAGCUACCCGAAAUGGAAAUUGGGAACGUUGGAAUUACAGAGGUUUCAAAACCCACCAAUUCGGAAGCUCAAAUUUCCCACCUUGCUCUCGAUAUUGGAGGUUCCCUGAUAAAGUUAGUGUAUUUCUCAACGAACAGUGACAAUUCGUCUUCUUUGAAUGAUAGCUUAGCAUCUUUUAAUGGCGAUAAAAGGCGUCCUGUUCUUGAAGGGAAGCUCCAUUUCGCAAAGUUUGAAACUUAGAAAAUGAAUGACUGUAUAGACUUCAUUCAGUCUAAGCAACUUCGCCUUACUGGUUAUUCAGUUUCAUCUGGAAUUCAAAGAUCAUUGUUGGAUAUUUCACACGGAAGUAAGAGCUGCCUGAUAAUUCACCAGGCCCCGACUGCCCUCGCUCCCGGCUUCAGGUUCCACCCGACACACGAGGAACUCGUCAUUUACUACCUCAAGCGCAAGGUCUGUCGCAAACCUUUUGAUUCUCCAUUUUUCUACGGUUCAUGAUCACUCACCUCGAGUACAAACUCCGCUGCUCAAGCUCUCACUUCGGCGAUCUCUCUGGUGAGCUUCACUAGUAUGCGAAGCUUUUUGAAGCUGAAACUUCGAGCUUUCAGAUAGAUUCAGUGCGGCGGAUGAAGAUGUUGAGGUACACUGUUUUGCUCGGUUUGUUUCUUCUUCUGGUGGCAGGCCAAACGAUGUUGCAUUUGGGCUUCGGUCCACACAUUGCAGACGUCAACAUUCUGCUGCCUCUCAGAAUGACUCAUCCGGUCGAGUAUCAGCUCUAGGGGUGAUGAUUGCUUCAAAUGGGUAUAGAUGGAGGAAGUAUGGUAAAAAAAGCAGUGAAGGUAAAACAGGUUCCUUUAAACACACAGCUGGAAAGUGGUCUAGCACCACAAUGAUAAAGGAAUUCAGACAUAAUGAUGCCAAGCUGUUUGCCAUCCCAUUACAAGGUCCCAACACCAACCAGGCUGAAAGCAAAAGAAAAAAUAAAAGAAAAAGCAGUAAGCAUGACUGCCUAUUAAGUGCAGCAGAGAAAAGAAAAACGGGGAAGAAGAUAAAGGAAAAGCAGACGGGGUGAUGCCAUGAUUAUGGCCACGACCCAUUGAGCAGGCUCUCCCCCCCCCCCGCGGCAACUACCAGCUGCACAUGCUAUCCAACCAGCGGCAACUACCAGCUGCACAUGCUAUCCAACCAUCUGUCAUACCCACUUUCAGUAGCU